AUUGAACGCUGGCGGAAUGCUUUACACAUGCAAGUCGAACGGUAGAGGGGGCAACCCCUCGAGAGUGGCGAACGGGUGAGUAAUAUAUCGGAACGUGCCCAGUCGUGGGGGAUAACGUAGCGAAAGUUACGCUAAUACCGCAUACGAUCUAAGGAUGAAAGCGGGGGAUCGCAAGACCUCGCGCGAUUGGAGCGGCCGAUAUCAGAUUAGGUAGUUGGUGGGGUAAAGGCUCACCAAGCCAACGAUCUGUAGCUGGUCUGAGAGGACGACCAGCCACACGGGAAGUGAGACGCGGUCCAGACUCCAACGGGAGGAAGCAGUGGGGAAUUUUGGACAAUGGACGGAAGUCUGAUCCGGCCAUUCCGCGUGCAGGAUGAAGGCCCUCGGGUUGUAAACUGCUUUUGUACGGAACGAAAAGGUCUCUCUUAAUACGGGGGACUCAUGACGGUACCGUAAGAAUAAGCACCGGCUAACUACGUGCCAGCCGCCGCCGUAA
rnacentral:rRNA from 1 species